GAAGCCCACCGGGUAAGGUUAACCAGCCGCCCGUAGUCAGCCUUGGAGCGUAGCGGGUAACUGCUGCGUUUAAGCGUAGGCAGACAAGAUAGCAGGCCGAAAGCCGGAAGGUUGAAGUGAUUGAGCCACGAAAUACUAAAUAGGAAGGCUAAUGCCGUUGCCUGUGCAGAAAGCAAUAUUGUGACAGUCGUUAUGGUAAGAAUGUCGCAACUUCCUCGGGGUCGGAGAGCU
rfam:Clostridiales bacterium GWB2_37_7 gwb2_scaffold_1086, whole genome shotgun sequence.